GACAGAGGGGGCAAGCGUUGUCCGGAGUUACUGGGCGUAAAGGGCGCGGCGGCGGUCUGCGGCGUCGGCGCUGAAAGCGCCCCGCUUAACGGGGCGAGGCGUGCCGAUACGCGCAGGCUCGAGGCGAGCAGAGGGUGGUGGAAUUCCGGGUGGAGCGGUGAAAUGCGUAGAGAUCCGGAGGAACGCCAGUGGGGAAGCCGGCCACCUGGGCUCGGCCUGACGCUGUGGCGCGACAGCGUGGGGAGCAAACCGG
rnacentral:rRNA from 1 species